rnacentral:rRNA from 1 species
GAUGAACGCUGGCGGCAGGCUUAACACAUGCAAGUCGAGCGAGCGGCGGACGGGUGAGUAAUGUCUGGGAAACUGCCUGAUGGAGGGGGAUAACUACUGGACACGGUAGAUAAUCCCGCAUCCCAUCAGAUGUGCCCAGAUGGGAUUAGCUAGUAGGUGGGGUAAUGGCUCACCGAGGCGACGAUCCCUAGCUGGUCUGAGGGGAUGAACAGCCACACUGGAACUGAGACACGGUCCAGACUCCUACGGGAGGCAGCAGUGGGGAAUAUUGCACAAUGGGCGCAAGCCUGAUGCAGCCAUGCCGCGUGUGUGAAGAAGGCCUUCGGGUUGUAAAGCACUUUCAGCGAGGAGGCGUUACUCGCAGAAGAAGCACCGGCUAACUCCGUGCCAGCAGCCGCGGUAAUUC